AGGGAGAAAAAUCAACUGUCAACCGGCUUGUCAGUAUGAGCAGUUAGAAGUGACAUGAUUGGAAGCAUUAAGAACCAGGAACACAGGACAAUUUUCUGAGGGACGUGCAUCGAAUACAUUACCUAGAACACAAACUGAAUCGGAUGCUGUAGCCCACCACCGUGAACUGAAGCUUCAUGAAGAGAGACUCAUGUGACCCUCGUGUGGAAGCGAAUGGAACAAAGACCAACUUUUCCAUUUGGACCCCUGGUUUCUCUCGAAUGCAGUUGUCCCAUCCUCAGCCUUUGAAUGAAAUGACUGUGCUGGUGGUCCCACGCCCAGGGGAAACAUCCUGUCCCCUAGAGGACCCUCAGUCUGUUGGAAAGUGUAAUGAGUAAGACUCAGUGAGCAGCAGAGGCUGAGAAAGUUGGGGGCCAAGGAGCAGGUCAGAGUUUCCCCACUUCUGCUUUUAACUCUCCUCCACUCAAAAUAGAAACUAUUUCCACCUUACUCCCUGUCCCCAACCUCAGCUUCAAGGUGGUCUACCACAAACACUCUGAGUGACAGUAGGGGAGUCACCAACUCUCCUGUGAGUCUGCACACCAAGCUGAGGAAACGGAAGCCUAGAAAGGCCAAAGAAAGUACUGUGUUGACCUUUUACAAUUAUUAAUUAAUUAAAUACAUAUGGGUGUUUUA
rnacentral:lncRNA from 1 species